rfam:Schistosoma mansoni strain Puerto Rico chromosome 3, complete genome
AGCUUUCUUAUUCGUGAAGAGAUUUCUUCACACACCCAUCCAUUAGGGUUGAUCAAACUUCCAAGAUAAGUGACGCU